CUUCCAUCAAUAGCUUCUUUGCUUUCUAACCGCAUUCUACAUCUAAGAAUUGGAAUUUAGUUUUUUCCGAACAGUAAAAAAAGUAAUUAUUCUGAAAAAAAAUUUUGAUUUCGGGAAGCUGUAUACUAUUUUCUUCUGGAAGAUUUGCACAGUACUUGUAUUCUUCGUCAAAAAUGAAAUUCCGUUACAGUUCUUCAUCCCUAAUUUAUCAUAUAACUGACGAACACGAUUGAGAUUUCGUGUAACUGCAGUUUAAAAUUAUUGAAACAUAAAGAUCCAGGCAGUUGGCAACUAACAUCUUUGGCUAUGAUUUCAGGGUUAUUGUUCAAGGUCCUGGAUCGUGGCCACGUUAUGGACAUGUCAUGGCCCUUCUUGGGCAAGGAUUUCUUCUGGCAAUUAGUGGAAAUGAUGGUAUGCAGCUGCUGAUGCACGUUCAAAUGAUCUUCUUUUGCUUUGCGAAAGAAGGGAUGCGAACAAUGUGGUGAGCUAAAGUAGUAACUUAAUGCGAAUUAUCAGAUAAGAAAACCAUUUAGCAAGUGCAUAUGGUCUUGCAAAACAUAGGGGGAUGGGAAAUUGCUCCUGCUGUCUUGCCAUCUCCCCAACAUGCAGCAUUUAGUUCCUCUUAUAUAUAGUUAUUAUUAGAUAUUUUAUUACUUUAUCUUUUGGAUUAUUUUGUGCUUACCCAUUUUUCUAGGGUAUUGCUAAUGCACGGCUUCAUGAGUCUGGAGGUGCACUUAGCGGUGGUCGCAUGGUUGAAGACUCAUCAAGUGUUGCAGGAGGACUUAUUGCUACUGCGGUGAGCCUCCGUCUUGUAAGACAAAUUAAUUGAGAAUAUUAUCCGCAUUAUAACGACAAUGGAUCUCAAAUGAUGGGCAGACUCAUAGCAAAGGAGGAUCUAAGUUUAUGAAGAGAGUGAAAGUAAUGUGGCUUAUGCUCAGAGGUUGAUUUUUCUGGCAAUAAAAACCUGAUUCUCAUCUGUUGUAGCAUUCAUCCCGAUUUAUUCCCAGUUUGUACUCAUAUAGUUUUUACGUUCUUAUACUUGUAUGCUAAAUGCAUCCACAUAGCCUCUACUGCACCACAUCCUAAAUCGUAUAUAGAGGUAUAUUUGACCUGCUUUGCUAAGCCUGAAAAGGCAACAAGGCAAGGAUAUCAUCAUAUGUCGAAGUAUACAUCUUUGAUGUACUAGUUCAUUAUUAAGAUAUUAAUAGUCAAGUUAUUGUAACGAAUUAAUAUUCUGAAUUGCACUGAUAUGGUGUGCAUGUUGUAAAUUAUAGUGCACAAUUUUGGCUUUCAUUAGUUUUCAAUUUUGGCCGCUUGUGUAUUUAUAGUUUAUGCACAUUUUAAAUGUAACUUGUACACAGUUUUAAUGCAAUACAAUGGUUUUUUUUUCUA